rnacentral:lncRNA from 1 species
GUAUCAAGAAGCAGUGUGGCUUGGCAGGGUUGUGUUUCGGAGGACGCAUGGCUGUCAACCUAUUUUAAUUUUUUUACUAUUCUAAAAAAGUAUAUUACUUCACUGGCUGCCUGUGGGGUUGACUAGUUGUAUGGAGGUACAACUAUGAGGCUGUAAAAUCGACUGUUCUGAGGUUUGGUUCGGUAUCAAGCCAUCUUAGGCUACCCGUGUGUGUGUGUGUGUGUGUGUGUGUGUGUGUGUGUGUGUGUGUGUGUGUGUGUGUGUGUGUGUGUACAUGCGCGCCCCAGGCCAUGUUACUGGGCCCAGUAGAGAGAGGUGAUGGGGAACAUGACUGGAUCAGUGCAUACAUCACUGGCCUCUGUCACACUCAACACACAAGCCCUGGUACAGGGUAGUCCACACACACACAGGAAGGAGAUCCUACAACUAUCUGGCCCUGCCACAGCACAGUUGGAUGCAGCAGAGCCCAGAGUGACAUUGAGACCUGCGUCUCCUUUACUGCAAUACUCUUCUCAGCUCAACUCCAGCCCUCUGCUCAGGAUGGCACAUGAUUGGCAGGGAGGUAGAAGUAGGAGUCACCACCGAUAUGAGGAAGAUGUUAAGGAGCCCCAGCCAGUGUAUAUUGGUGUUCCGGUAACACACGGUUACAGCAAAAGGAGACGUCGUAAACACCGCUCCCAGCGCGAACAAGAGAAACACCACACACACCGCGGCCAACACGCACACCAUGAACACACACGUCACGAACACAUACACCAUGACAAUCACCAUGACUACCAGGAACACUACAAAGAGGAGGAGGAGCAGGAACAACAUGACAUAUUUGACCCUGACUCCACAGGUGGGCACUCACGCACACGCACACACACACACACACACACACACACACACACACACAGACUUACACAUGCGGACACGCGCACUUUAAGUAGUACACACAUGUGAGAAGUAUAUGACCAGCCACAGUUGUUGCUGUUUUGAGGAAUGAUCCCCUGUCAUUUCCAGGCGUGCUUAUAACUAGCAGCAGGGUUUGUGUGUGUGUGUGUGUGUGUGUGUGUGUAUGCACGCGUGUGUGUAAUGAAUGUGUCAAAGCGUGGUUCCUGUUCCCGUGGAGACCAGCGUCUUGAAGCUGGUAAGCUGAUUAGAGCUGAGGAACUCAAACCCUGGUAUACCACCGGUCCUCUGUGUGUGUGUGUGUGUGUGUAUGUGAUCAAGGGGGUCCACUGCCCCAGUUCCACAGGAGAAAUAUGUCACGUCAUUUUACUCAUCAGAGUAUAGAUCCCGGGAUGGACGGAGGCAAGGAGAAGAACCCGGACACAAAAGGGGAAGGAAGGGGCGUACAGACAAAAGUGGAGUGAAGUUGAUGUAGUUGUUGUGUGCACGCAUGUGUGUCACAGGGUUAAGGGUACUUGAGGCUGCUGCGGUGGGUGUUUGUGCGCAGGUGCAUGUGUGUGUCCAUGCAUGUGUGUGUGUGUGUCAGGGGGUGGAGAGUGCUUCAGGGUGCUGUGGGGUGUGUGUUGGCCUCUUAAGCCUCUGGUCCUUCGCUGCUCUGGAGAUUUCAGUGGAUUUCUGCUUCAGAUUAAAGCAGACCAAAACAACUCCACAGGAAAACAAUUCCGGAGCAGGACGGAACACACAGAACAGUGUUCAGCCCUUUGGACCGCUGGGUUUCUGACUGACGACACACCAUCCCACACACGGCAGAACAUGGCUCACUAAACAACGAAGGCCUAUUGGAUAGCGAAAGGUGUUGAGGCAGAGUUGGCGCAAAGAGAAGAGCAUAAAGCUAUAAGAAGAGGACGACAACGGAGCAAGGCGUUGAGAGGCGGAACGGGAGAGAGCAGGAAAGUUGUGGAGAGGAAGGAAAGAAGGAGUUUGUCCACUCUUCUCCUGGUUGUCCCAUCAGUGGAGGUCUAGCCUUGACUCCGGUAUCUCUAGUUUUCUCCAGAACAAGCCAAUUGUCAAACGGGAAUACGGUGUCAGGGACUCGUCUGGUACCGCGAGUCUCGUAGGUUGCUACCUCUCUGGGCUGGACGGACAUUGACAGAAGCCUCCUGUUGUGUGUUGACCUAUCAGCUGGUUGGGGAUAUCUCUCUCUCUGAGCUGCUGGGAGUACAGGUGUAUACCGAAAGUCUCUGGU